rnacentral:rRNA from 1 species
GACGAACUCUGGCGGCGUGCUUAACACAUGCAAGUCGAACGGAAAGGCCCUGCUUUUGUGGGGUGCUCGAGUGGCGAACGGGUGAGUAACACGUGAGUAACCUGCCCUUGACUUUUGGAUAACUUCAGGAAACUGGGGCUAAUACCGGAUAGGAGCUCCUGCUGCAUGGUGGGGGUUGGAAAGUUUCGGCGGUUGGGGAUGGACUCGCGGCUUAUCAGCUUGUUGGUGGGGUAGUGGCUUACCAAGGCUUUGACGGGUAGCCGGCCUGAGAGGGUGACCGGCAACAUUGGGACUGAAAUAAGGCCCAGACUCCUACGGGAGGCAGCAGUGGGGAAUAUUGAAGAAUGGGCGGAAGCCUGAUGCAGCAACGCAGCGUGCGGGAUGACGGCCUUCGGGUUGUAAACCGCUUUCGCCUGUGACGAAGCGUAAGUGACGGUAAUGGGUAAAGAAGCACCGGCUAACUACGUA